GGACAGUCUGUGCUGGAUAAACACAGCCAGCUCUGGGCCCCUGACUUCCUGUCCUGGGAGAAAGGUUCACUGCUGCCAAUGUGAGCGCAAGGUCAGUCCAGACAGGGCCAGUACAACGGAUGGGGGUUCUGCUGGCGAAAUGACAACCAGGCUGGCUCCCUGAGUUUGCUUCCAGGUGCCUGCGAGGGAGUUCAGCACCACACCCCACCAGGAGAGGAAUUUCCUAACAUUAGAGCUCAGCAACAGGCUCACAGAAGCGAAGAGAAGCAGGAGGCUGAGGGCUUACACCUGUCAUUCAGGCCACAACUCAGCAGCACCAGCACCUCUCUCAGCAUGGACUCCUCAUGUGGACACUGGGGCGGGAAUAGUGCCCCUGCUUGAGUCGUCACUGGGACUUAAAGUAUACAGCCUAUGUAAAACCAUCACAAUGGUGCCGAACACAUAGUCGGGUCCAAUAAAUGCUAGUUGUCUUCCCUCGUUUUGACCAGCUG
ensembl:lincRNA